UACGGAGGGGGCUAGCGUUGUUCGGAAUUACUGGGCGUAAAGCGCGCGUAGGCGGCUUUGUAAGUUAGAGGUGAAAGCCCGGAGCUCAACUCCGGAACUGCCUUUAAGACUGCAUCGCUAGAAUCGUGGAGAGGUGAGUGGAAUUCCGAGUGUAGAGGUGAAAUUCGUAGAUAUUCGGAAGAACACCAGUGGCGAAGGCGACUCACUGGACACGUAUUGACGCUGAGGUGCGAAAGCGUGGGGAGCAAACAGG
rnacentral:rRNA from 2 species